rnacentral:rRNA from 1 species
AUUGAACGCUGGCGGCAUGCUUUACACAUGCAAGUCGAACGGCAGCACAGCAGAGGUAACUCUGUGGGUGGCGAGUGGCGAACGGGUGAGUAAUACAUCGGAACGUACCCUGUUGUGGGGGAUAACUACGCGAAAGCGUAGCUAAUACCGCAUACGCCCUGAGGGGGAAAGCGGGGGACCCUAAAUAGAGCGCACUGGGGAGUGCGUUGUAUUUAGGGCCUCGCGCAAUAGGAGCGGCCGAUGUCGGAUUAGCUAGUUGGUGAGGUAAAGGCUUACCAAGGCGACGAUCCGUAGCUGGUCUGAGAGGAUGAUCAGCCACACUGGGACUGAGACACGGGCCCAGACUCCUACGGGAGGCAGCAGUGGGGAAUUUUGGACAAUGGGGGCAACCCUGAUCCAGCCAUGCCGCGUGAGUGAAGAAGGCCUCGGUUG